rnacentral:rRNA from 1 species
AGGAAUUCAAUGGCCGCAGUAUUUUAACUGUGCUAAGGUAGCAUAAUCAUUUGUCUUUUAAUUGAGGGCUGGAAUGAAAGGUUGGACGAGAUAUUAACUUUCUUUAGUUUAAUUUUAAGAAUUUAAUUUUUGAGUUAAAAAGCUUAAAUUUAUUUGUUGGACGAGAAGACCCUAUAGAUCUUUAUAAUUUUAUAUUUUAAUAAUUUGGUGAUUUUAUUUAUUGUAAGUAGAAGAAUUAUUUUGUUGGGGUGACUGUAGAAUUUUAUUAACUUCUAUUAUUUUUAUUUCAUUGAUUGAUGUUUUUUUGAUCCAUAUAUUUAUGAUUAAAAGAUUAAGUUACCUUAGGGAUAACAGCGUAAUUUUUUCGGAGAGUUCAUAUUGAUGAAGGAGUUUGCGACCUCGAUGUUGGAUUAA